UCUCCGUAGGUGAACCUGCGGAGGGAUCAUUACAAGUGACCCCGGUCUUACCACCGGGAUGUUCAUAACCCUUUGUUGUCCGACUCUGUUGCCUCCGGGGCGACCCUGCCUUCGGGCGGGGGCUCCGGGUGGACACUUCUAACUCUUGCGUAACUUUGCAGUCUGAGUAAACUUAAUUAAUAAAUUAAAACUUUUAACAACGGAUCUCUUGGUUCUG
rnacentral:misc_RNA from 1 species